UACGUAGGGGGCGAGCGUUGUCCGGAAUUACUGGGCGUAAAGAGCGCGUAGGCGGUGCGUUAAGUCGGCUGUGAAAUCUCCCGGCUCAACUGGGAGGGGACGGCCGAGACUGGCGGGCUUGAGGGUGGCAGAGGGAGGCGGAAUUCCCGGAGUAGUGGUGAAAUGCGUAGAUACCGGGAGGAACACCAGUGGCGAAGGCGGCCUCCUGGGCUUCUCCUGACGCUGAGGCGCGAGAGCGUGGGGAGCGAACCGG
rnacentral:rRNA from 1 species